rnacentral:rRNA from 1 species
AAUGAACGCUGGCGGCAUGCCUUACACAUGCAAGUCGAACGGCAACAUGACCUAGCUUUCUAGUUUUAUAGCGAGUGGCGAACGGGUGAGUAAUGCAUCGGAACGUGCCGUUUAUUGGGGGAUAACUUAACGAUAGUUACGCUAAUACCUCGUAUUCUCUGAUGAGUAAAGCAGGUUGGCUUCUUUCCUUGCUCGGGAAGAGCGUCCGGUGUCGUAUUAGCUAUGUUGUGAGGUAAGGGCUCACCAAGGGGACGAUCCGUAGCGGGUCUGAGAGGAUGAUCCGCCCCAGUGGGACUGAGAGACGACAUAGACUCCUACGGGCGGCAGCAGUGCGGAAUUGUGGAAAAUGGGCGGAAGACUGAUCAAGGCACGGAGCGUGAGUGCAGAAGGCCCUCGUGUUGUAAAGCUCUUUCGGCUGGGAAGACCUCGCACCCCUUAAUCCAGGGUGUGGAUGACGGUACGAGCAGAAGAAGAACCGGUUAAUUACGU